UUCACGUGCUGUAGCGUUGAGUGUUCCAUGUGGGUUUAGGGUUUGAGGGUUUUAGGUCCUUGCAGGUUUGUGGGCUGGUUUGGUUGGUCCUAAGUAUACUCCUGGUGUACUUAGGAGAGCCUCACGCUUUUUUUAAUGAAACUUUUAUUACUUAUCAAAAAGAAAAAUCUAUUCUUUUUUCAAUUAGUAAAACGUUGACUAUUCAUCAAAAUGUUUAAAACUUAUAAAGCAAUAAAACAUAAUGUCUUUGCUUAGUGAGUAAAAUACUCACCUAAUCCGCUUGGGGGAGAGCUUGUGAUGGACUUCCCAAUGCAAUCCUUGCAUUGCACCACUGCAUUUCACAUUACAAUUACACAUCAAGGCUAACCCAAAGCACUUUCUAACUCUAAACACCACAUAGGUUCUUGAUUGUCUCAAGUGUUAACCUACCAUGGCAACCAUAGAACUUCUAGGGUUCCAUUUGACACCUCAUUAACUAAUAACACUAACCCAUAGAGAAAUUUUAGUGUUAGACACAAAAAUCGCUAAUUUACAACACUUGAAGAAAAUUUUGGGUUUGGGUCUUACCUUGAUUUUCGACCAACUUUGAAAUUUUGCCACAUGAAAUGCUUACCUGUUACUUGAAUAUGGUUUAGAACUCCUCUAAACACAAAAGCCCUUAAGAAAUUUGAGGGAUUAAGCAGAAACCCCAAAAAUUAACUCAAUCUACAAGAAAAGCUAGAAAAAGGGUUUGUGUAUUUACCUCAAACCAAUCAGUGAAUACGAUGACCUAGUAUCGAGAAUCACGUUUCCGGAGUUGGAUUUGGCUUUAGAAAUUUCUACAAAUCAAUACCUUAGGUUUUGAUACAAACCCUAGGUUAGAGAAGAGAGAAAAUCGUGAGAGAGAUGAGAGAAUGAGAGAAAUGAGAUGAAACCAUGGGUUCUCUAUUUAUAUACCCCCCCGUCCGGACGUCUCAAUGAACGGUGCAGACGCUCUUGAUGUGGAACGUCCCAAAUAUCCUUCUCGAGGUUGCCCAUCCGCAUCUCGUUCGGAUGCGCACGAGAUGCUGAACUUUCUGUCCAACCCGUCUGGACACACAUUGAAUUGGAAACUUUCUGUGCUUCACGUCCGGACAUGAUAAUGCCCUGUCUGGACGCCAGUUUCAAAUUCAGACUUAACGAAAUUUGUAAGUGUUCUUUCUCGCUCUUUAUUUAAUCACUUAAUUAGUCUAAAUUCCAUUGCAACUCUUAUUUAAUAUCUUGGGCAUUACACAGGAGGCCGCAAAAACUCUAAACCCAGCCAGAAACUUCCAAGAAAUUAGAUGGGGCAGGUUGUGUUCACGAUCGAUGCAUCAAAACCACACUUCCUGUGUUUGUGAAGGAUCGGGCGGUCACCUAAUCACCACCGUGUGCAUGAGGGAUGCCCUAGAGCACACUGGUGGUGCCUUUUCUAGAAGUGCCACCUAGAUGAUGGUAGAUAACAUCUAGUUGCGCAACCAACAACUUGUGAGAACACAUGAACAUGUCGAAGAAGCAAAGAGCAGACGAACCAGAAAAGAAAAAAAGAACAAAGGAAAAAGAAAGCAAACCAGGAACCAAAUUUGGCUCUGAUACCAAGUAGAAAAGAGAAAAAGAUUUCUUUUAUUCAUAUUUAAUUCCAUACGGUUACUUAUGUUUAAAUAGAGAAGACCUAGAAACUAAUAUGGAUGAAGAAUUCUCUGAUACAAUUUUUUUUUAAAUAAAAAAUAAAAAAUAAAAUUGAAUAGCCCACUUUAAGGCAUCUUGCUGUCUCUACUCUUCGACAUCUCAUAGAAAAGGAUCCAGUUUCCAUGAUCAAUGAGCAAAUAGAAGAUAACUUGUUCCAUAUGCUGGAUGAAGAAAUUGACUUUGAGUAUGUUUCAUCCCGACUCUUGAUGGAAUUAAAGGUCUUGUCUUUUGGGUUAUCUCUGUUUGUUCUUCUCCGAGUUCACUUGGUGCUGGGUUUUGGUUGGCGGUACCGAGGGUUUGUUUUGUGGGUAUGGUUCCAGGGUGUCUCCUCUUCUAGCUCUUCAGAUUUGCAUCAGAUGGAGCGGUGCUUCUCUGUGGAAGCCAAACGUUUUUCCUUUUCAGUGGAGGUUGAAGUGCCGGAACUGCGCUUGGAGGAGAGGAGAAAGGGGUUCUUCGGGUUCAUAUUUUUGGGUCUUCAAGGUUCAGCUUGGUUGUUGGCUUCUGUAGAGGAGGCCUUGAAGGUUUCAGCGAAGGAAUUCGUCAAGUACUUCCGGGAGGAUGUGAAAGUAUUGAUGGUUCGAGGGGAUGAGAACAAGUCCGGCCGCUACCUAGAGGUGGAAGUUUUCAUUGAGGGUGGUCGAAAAGGGGCUAUUUGGCUCCUUGAAGGUCGUGAAGGUUGGGGCUAGGCUCGGGUUGUGGGGGAACUGCAGAAGAUGAUCAAUUUCCUCGGUCCUAAGGAUCGGACGAUGGGUUUUGAGGCGUCCUCUUUGGAGGGGACUCAGAUAAGGGGUGUCUCUUCCAGUCGGCUAGGCGGGUCUCCUCCAUUGUAUGCGGCAGUGGUUCGGGGGGAAGUUGUCUCUCACGGCACGCAUGCUGGGUUGCGGGGUUCGGAGGGAGAACUGUGUGGGUUGGACUAUUUCCGAAAUCAUGGUGUAGGGUGGUCGAAGACGGGGAGAUUGGUGGUGAAUUACUUUGACCUGGAGGAGCAACCGCACGGGUCGACGGAGAAGUCCACGCCUCCAGUAUGGUCAUGGAGCUCUUCAUUUGAUCCGCUGGACAAUGGUUUACCACGUUUUCCGCUGGUGAAGAAGAAGAUGCAUGAUGUUUACUUUGCACGAGGUCCAUCUCAUUUGAAUUCAAAUUUACGUACGUGGACUAGGAUGCUCCUCAGCUUUAAAUUGGCUUUGGGCGGGGCUCUUGGGAAUCUUUUGGGCUGGUUUGCUAGGUCUGGUUUGGGCCUCAAAUGGAAAGGGCUUCGGUUGGGUUGCUUCUUGCCGAAAAUCAAAACCAAAGCAUCGUUUCAGACAGAAGCUUCCGAGGAUGUGGGUCCGGUGUCGACGAUCGUUUUGGGGUGCUCUCUUCGGCUGGAGUUGACAUUGCCGACAGUCUCUGGGUUGAUUCUAGGGUUGUCUUCUUCCGAGGGUGGGCCUAGCUGUUGGAAGCUUGUUCCAGCUGGAGAUGUGGGUAUGGGUAUGACGGAGAUUCAGCCGGAGAUUUCGUCGGGGACAGAAUCUUGGGUGGUUCUGGGGCUGUCAUCUUCUAGGAGUGUGUCAAGCCAUUUGCCUCUCGUUCCAGCGGCUGAAUCCAUCACGCUGCCUAGUCCUGAUGCUUCUGUCCUUAUGUCUAGCAACUCAGUUGGUGUUGGUGCUGGGUUGACUCAACCUUUCUUCCCUUUUCCUUCUCUCUCAGGGGCGGCUGAGUUGGGUGAGAAGAUUCGUUCUUCUCUCCUUGCGAUACAAUCUACUAAACCUUUACAAAGCUAUUACCGGAAGGCUAGGGAUCUCAAGGAAGGUCACUCAGUGAAGUGAAAUGAGGGGCUGUUAGCAAAUUCCCUAGCUGCUUCGAAGACACCUAUCUGUUCUGCUAAAAAGGAAGUAGCUGCAGUGCCUCCAGUGAAGAAUUUUGUGGGUUCUGUGAAGAAGGGUUUCCCUCGCCCAGCUGCAAUAGCCCCUACCGCGUCUCGUGAGGCCAAGGAUGUUGGGAUGAUAGGGCUUCACUCCCCCCCGGGUUGUCGCAUCAUUCCUUCAUUCGUAGAGGGCUAUGGUUUUUCUCAAUCUCAGGAAUGACCUGUUGGGUUUGCUCUUAAUGGGGAGUUAGUUGUUUGGGAUAAGGAUGAUUUUUGGGAUGGGCUGCCCUUAGAUUGGUUGUUGGACGGUGUUUAGGGCGAGGAGUCUUUGGCAAUCCUUGAUGCCAUGGAAGAUGAAUUCCAUUGAGACAAGAUGAUAGCACGCCAAAAGACCAAAGGAAAGAGGAAACUUUUGAAUUUAAAAAGUUCCAUUAAUGACGGCGUUGCAAGGGCUCCCUCUAGGCGCGAGAAAGGCAAGGCUCUCAUAUAGUAGGGUUUUGUGCCCUCGUGGGUUUAGAGGUUUUCAGGUUUUAGGGCUUACCUCCUUGUGGGUUUUGUUGGGUUCUUUUGUGGGCUGUUCUCGGGUGCUCCUUUUGGGCUUUAGGGUUUUGUUGGGUGCUUUUUGUGGAUUGGCUUUGGUUGUUCCUGUGUAUGUACUUAGGGGCGCCUUACGCUUUUUUCUAAUAAAACUUUUCUUACUUAUCAAAAAAAAAAAUAUGGAAAGAAAUAAUGAAAUAUUACAUUCAGCUCAAAUCACAUAAAAUCAGAGAAUAAUACUAGGCCUAAAUCAAGGGGAAUCAAAUCGACAGUUUCCAUCUUCAACACAUUUAUUGCCAUCAUUCUGAAGAUUGCAGGGGUUGUUGAUCCCAAAGACUUUCGCCUGAUUAGCCUUAUGAGUGGCAUUUACAAAAUUAUUGCAAAGAUUUUGACAAAUGGGUUAAAGAUAGUGCUAGAGAAGAUUAUCCCUAAGUUGUAGAAUGCUUUCAGGGGAAAGGUAUUAUUGUUACCAAACAAGUUUUCGAAAAGGUGAUAUGAUGCAUUCGUCUCGUUGGUGGUCUGUCGAGUCUAAGGAGUUUGUCUUGUCGGUAGUGGGGGGUUUCAUAGGCAUUAGGAUUCAUGAACGUAGGAAAGGAGUGACUAGGUCCAUUCUUAUAGAUAAAGAUGAGGUUGCCUGGUUGAUUAAGUCUUUUCAGGACCUGGUUACGGCUCGUGAUUGUAGGGUGUUCUGGAAUCAAUCCGUUUCGGGUUUUCCGCGGAUUCUUGCGCAGCAACAUGCAAAUAGGCAUGGUUUCUUUCUGACCAUAGAAGAAUUUGAAGGGAAAAGAAGGAGAGGUUCUGUUUUGGUGUACUCUGCAAGCUGGACUUAGAAAAAAGCCUAUGAUCAUGUUUAUGGGAUUUUUUUAUGUACUUGCUUGAGGAGCUGUGGUGGGGGGAAGUGGUGCUCAUGGAUAGUUUUUAGUGUUUCGACGAUGCGGUUCUUGGUUUUGGUGAAUGGCACUCCCAUCAGGUUUUUUAGUAGCUCCUGCAGCUUGAGACAAGAGGACCCUCUGUCCCCUUUGUUGUCUGUCAUUGUGAUAAAGGUUUGGGUACGAUGAUCUCUACUAUAGUGAGUGGGGGAUUGUUAUGUGGCUUCGUUGUAGGGACAUGGAUUGAUAUCUCUCAUUUUUUGUUUGCGGAUGAUAUUUUGAUUUUCAAUAGGGCUGACCCAGAUUAUCUACGACAUAUGCAAUGCUUAUUUUUAUGUUUUGAAGUUGUCUUAGGCUUGAAAUUUAAUUUGGCUAAGUUACCCGAUCUGUGUGGAGAUGGCGCUUUACAUGGGGUCCGAAGUUUACCUGACAAGGGUGGGUACACGAAGUGGCCCUACCUUGAAGGGGUUCCUCGUCAUAAAAAAUAAAAAAUAAAAAAAGGUUAAUUUGUCUAAGUCAGUAUUGAUUCUUGUGGGUGUUUACGUGGAUGUGUUGGCAGGUAUUAUAAGCUGUGCGGUUUCCCGUCUACCUUUGAAGUAUCUUGAUCUUUUGUUGUGGGCCUCCUAUAAGGACAAAUCUAUUUGGAACCGCGUUAUUGAAAAGAUACAGCGUCACUUGGGUAGUUGGAAAAGGUUGUAUUUGGCUGAAGGUGGUACGAUUAUCCUUAUAAAGAUUACACUUUCCAAUCUACCUACGUACUUUUUGUCUCUCUUUCCUCUUCUAGCGUGGGGUUGCAAACCGUAUUGGGAAGCUUCAACGUGACUUCCUAUGGGGUAGGCUAGGUUAAGAGUUCAAAUAUCAUCAGGUAAGCAGAUCGAAGGUUUGUUCUCCGAUCUCUGAAGGAGGGCUAGGGGUCCGAAACUUGCUGAUGUCAAUCGAGCUCUCUUAAAGAAAUGGAUGUGGCGCUAUGCACGAGAGAGAGGCAUAGUGAAGAGUGAUGGUAGACACUAAAUUGCCAUUUGUGGGGUGGGGUGGUGUUCUAAUGAGCCUCUUGAGAUGUUUGAAGUGGGUUUAUGCAAGAACAUUAGAAGGGGUUGUGGGAAGUUCUUUAGCCAUACUAGACGUCCUUCUACAAUGUUUUGGAGCGCAAUGAUGGCUUACAUUUCGCUUGGAAGAGUGAAUCGGCAGACAUAGGUUCCUUUGGGAGGCUUUUUUUUUGCUUGGUCGACGGCCCUAGGAAAGAUUCUUACCAUGGAUAAUUUGAGGAAAUGACAUGUCAUCGUGGUUGGUAGGUGUUUAAUGUAUAAAAGGAAUGGGGAGUUCAUAGUGUUAGGAAAUUAAUUCUAUUUCCCAAGACCCGUGUGAACAAAAAAUAAGAAGAAAUCGGAAUGAAAUACCUACAAGCAAUCACAUAAGAACACAAAAUUUACGUGGUUCAUCACUAAGGGCUACGUCCACAGAGUUGCAACAGAUUUAACUAUGAUGGAGAAAUAAUACAAGAGACUUUUAUAAUCCAGAAACGUGGCUUAAACUAUUCAACUCUCAAACCCCUUGUAGAAAACUUCUUUAGAAAACCUAGAAAAGACCUUUCAGUGUUUUCACAAAUUUUCUCAUAACAAUAGUAUCUCAAAACAGGUCUUUAAAUAGAAAACCAGAGUUUCCAGAUGAUUGUGUCCGAACGCCCUCGCAGCAUGUCUGGAUACGACUAGGGUUCCUUAGCUCUAUGUCCUGCAUCUUCAGACACGUCAACACGCUGUCUGGACAUGCCCAAAAAAGUGCACUUUUUGGAACACCUAUUUGGACAAGCUUGGCAAAAGCCUACUUGCUGGAGUGCUUGUCCGGACAGGCCAACUUGCUGUCCGAACAUGCCAUCUUGCUAUCCAGAUAGUCUCCACAGAAUAACAAUCUCCCACUUGGAGACUGGUCUGCCCGCCAACUUCAGCUCCGCAUUCCUCCAUGCCUUAAGCACUGCUGCUGCAACCUUUCUUUCUCGUCUUCAACCUCGAAGACCAACUGAAGAUGUUCACAACUUCAAUUUCUCAAUAGUUACAACUUUCGUCAACAUGUUUGCCGGAUUCUCACUGCCACAAAUCUUCUAAAAAUCAACUGUUUACUUUGUAGGAGAGAGUGAAUGAAAUGAUACCUUAACUGAAUGUGCUUCGUUCUUGAAUGAUACGCUGGGUUCUUCGCAAGAAAGAUAGCACUCUGACUAUCAUUGUGUAGAACACCCUUCUCAUCCUUACCCAACUCAUCCAGGAAACCUUGUAGCCAAACCACUUCUUUCUGGCUUCUAUCACGGCUGAAUAUUCAGCUAUUGUUGUGGAAAGAGCAACAAUUUUCUGCAACUUUGAAGGCCAACACACAGCUGUACCACCUAGGGUAUAUACAAACCCAAUAGUACUUUUCUUGCUAUCAACAUCACCCGCUAGAUCAACAUCCACAGAACCCUGCAACUUCAUAUCUACUCCUAUGAAGCAAAGGGAUGUAUUUGAAGUACCUUUUAGAUACCUCAAAAUCCACUUGACUGCUUCCGACUGUUGCUUGCCUGGAUUACUCCUGUAUCUGCUCACUACUCCCACGGCAUGCGCAAUAUCCGGUCUUGUACACACCAUGGCGUACAUCAGACUACCAAUAGCUAAGGCGUAAGGUACCUUGUUCAUGUAGACUUUCUCCUAAUCCGUCUUUGGUGACUGAUCCUUGGUUAGUCUAAACUGACUUCCCAAUGGUGUGCUCACUAAUUUAGCUUCAUCCAUGCUAAAUCUGUUGAGAACUUCUUCAAAUACUCUGUUUGUGAAAGCUUCAGCGUACUAUUGACCCUGUCUCUAAUGAUUCUCAUACCUAGGAUUUGUUUAGUAGCUCCCAAAUCCUUCAUGACAAAUUGCUUUGACAACUGUUUCUUCAGAUUGUUAAUCUGCCCCAAUGCUGGACCCUGCAACGAGCAUAUCAUCCACAUACAGCAACAUAAUGAUAUAAGAGUUCUCAAAACUCUUAACAUGGCAAUAGACAACAAUGAUCUGCACUACACCUCGUAAACCCAGUAUUGUACAUGAAGUUGUCAAACUUCUUGUACCAUUGUCUUGGAGCUUAUUUUAGGCCAUAUAAGCUCCUUCUCAAUUUGCACACCAGAUUCUCCUUUCCCUGUAUUCUGAAUCCAUGUGGUUGACGCAUGUAGAUAUCCUCCUCCAACUCACCAUGGAGGAAUGUUGUCUUCACAUUCAGCUGCUCAAGAUAUAAAUUCUUUGCCGCCACAGUUCUCAGUACUAUUCUAAUUGUUCUCAUCUUUACAACUGGGGAAAAUAUGUGUAACCAAUACCUUCCUUCUGCAGAAAGCCCUUGGCAACCAAUCUUGCCUUGUAGUGCUUGCUACUAUCAUGCUCACCCUUGAUUCUGUACACCCAUUUGUUAUACAAAGUCUUCUUUCCUACUGGUAGCUCGAUCAACUCCCAUGUUUGGUUAGUCAUCAAUGUGUCCGUCUCAUUCUUUAUGGCUAACUCCCACUUGGUUGAAUUCUGAACUUGCAAGGCUUCAUCAUAAGUCUCAUGCUCUCCACCAUCAGUCAAUAGAAUAUAGAACAAGGAGGGUGAAUAAUGCUGUGGAGGUCUAAUGUUUUUAAGAGACCUUCUUACAGCCACUGUCGGUGUACCCUGUUCAGUCUGCUGAUCUACUGUUUCUUCAACUUCUGGACCCCCUUUAGUUUCUAGAUCCUCAUCAAUUUCUAAAUUCCUUCUUUGAGCUGCACCUUUAGGAAUUCCAUCUAGUCUAAUAAUUUCAGGCUUCUUAGCCUCCGACUCAAUGCUUGCUGGCUCUGCACUAGAAUCAUUCUAAUGCAUAGCUUCUCAUUAAAAGUAUCAUCCCUACUUCUAAUGAUCUUCUGGUUUUGAUCAUCCCAAAACCUAUACUCAAAUGCCUUAUCUCCAUAGCCAAUGAAAUAACAUUUUCUAGAGUUAGCAUCUAGCUUGCUAUAAGCAUCAGAUUCAAUGUAUACAUAUGAAAUACAAUCAAAAACUUUCAAGUGAGAAAGAUUUACCUUCUUUUCACUCUGGACUUCUUCAAGUAGUCUAUGAUUCAAAGGAACUGAGGGUCCUCUGUUUAUCAAGUAAGUAGCAGUGCUUACUGCAUUCGUUCAGAAAGUUUCCGGUAGCCCAGCAUGCAACCUCAUGCUUCUUGCACACUCAUUGAGGGUCUUGUUCAUGCCCUCAAUCACUCCAUUCUAUUGUGGUGUUCUUGGGAUAGUUUUCUUCAUCCUAAUCCCAUUAAUCGCACAAAACUGUUUGAAACCCCAUCUUCAUAUUCUUCUAAAUUGUCUGAUCUUAGGCACUUCAGUUUCAGACCAGUUUUUGUCUCUACCAUGCCCUUCCACUUCUUAAAAACUUCAUAUACAAGUAAACUCAUACCUUCCUCAUAUACAAGUAAACUCAUACCUUCCUGCUUGAGUCAUCAAUGAAUGUAACAUAGUAUCGCGAGCCUCCAAGCUAUGUCACUAAGGAAGGACCCCACAAAUUUGUGUACCAGCUCCUGCUUCUCCAGCUUAGGUGCUUUUCCAACUUUUACGAAACUCACCUUCUUCUGCUUACCUAAGAUGCAACCUUCACAUAUGUCAGACUCAAUUGACUUCAGUUCCGGUAGUUUUCCCUUUGACUAUACCUUCAUCCAUUUCUCGCUCAUAUGUCCAAUCCUUAAAUACUACAAUUUUGAAUUAACGCUAGCAUCUACAACAACAACUGUAUCUCUAAUAUUUGUAGUCAUAUAGAGAGUACCUGUCUUGUAUCCUUGAGCCAAAAUCCCGGUUCCAAUGCUGAUCUUUCACUUACCACCAUGAAAGUUAAUGGAAUAUCCUUCAUCAUCAAGUUGUCCCAUUGAAAUCAGGUUCUUCUUCAGCUCUAGGACAUGCAUGACCUUUUGUUGCUUCCAUACCAAGUCACUUUGGACUCUAAUGCGAACAUCACCCAUGCCUACAAUCUCUAGUGUCGAUUCAUCAGCCAAGUACACCUUCCCGAAAUCUCCAGCAACAUAUUUUUCGAGAAUUUCACGGAUCACUAUGGUAUGAAAGGAGGCUCCUAAGUCCAAAACCCAAGAGUCAAGAGGACUAUCAACAAAGAGAAGUAGAGCAUCCUGCACUUCUUUUGUCACCACGACAUUUGCAGAAUCUUCAUUAGUCUUCUUUAGUUCUCUGCAGUUCUUCUUGAAGUGGCUUGUCUUGCCACAAUUCUGACACUCAGGUUGUCGCCCAAACUUGGAUUUGCUCCUACCCUUUCUGAAUUUAGAUCUGCCCUUCCAGAGUUCCUCUCUUGACUUCUGCCCCUUUCUUCAAGGUUUAAGGCUGCACCAAAACCGGAGGUUUCACCAGCAUCCUUCCUGUGGACCUCCUCACCAAGAACCAAAUCCUUGACGUCUUCAUGUCUCAGUUUACUCUUCCCUCCAGAGUUACUCACAGCCAUUCCCACGGCUUCCCAGCUAUUUGGCAAAGACGCCAAGAUGAUUAACGCACAAAUCUCAUCAUCAAAAUCAAUUUCCACCAAGGAUAAUUGAUUCGUGAUAGUGUUGAAUUCAUUAAGAUGUGCCAUCGAAGCUCCUUCAGCCAUCUUUAGGUUGAACAAUUUCUUCAUCAGGUGCACUUUGUUGUUAGCUGACGGCUUCUCAUACAUACUUGGCAAAGCCAUCAUUAGACCUGUUGUGGUCUUCUCCUUUACAGUUUUGUGUGCAAGUGAUUUUGACCGUGAUACCUGAUAACUGCCAGAGCCUUACGAUCAAGUAGAGCCCACUCGUUAUCAUACAUGUUGUUAGGUUGUUAUCCCAAAAGAGGUGGAUGGAGAUCCUUCCCGUUAAGAAUAUCUUCAAUUUGCAUCUUCCAGUAUUCAAAAUCUGUGACAUUGAAUUUUUGGAUACCAAUCUUUUGUUCUUCUAUAGUCAUCGCUCCCACUCAAAUCAAAAAAAGCUCUAAUACCGAUUGUUAGGAAAUUAAUCCUAUUUUCCAAGACUCGUGAGAACAAAAAAUAAGAAGAAAACAGAAUGAAAGACUUAAAGGCAAUCACACAAGAACACGAGAUUUAUGUGGUUCAACACUAAGGGCUACGUUCAUAGAGUUGCAGCAGAUUUCACUAUGAUGGAGAAAUAAUACAAGAGACUUUUACAAUUCAGAGACGUUGAUUAAACUAUUUAACUCUCAAACCCCCUAUAGAAAACUACUUAUAUAGAAAACCUAGAAAAUACCUCAUUGUUUCCACAAUAUCUCUUAACAACGUCUGAAAAUAGGUCUUGAAAUAGAAAACCGGAAUUUCUAGGCGGUUGUGUCCAAACACCCUUGCUGCAUGUCCGGACGCAACUAGGGCUCCGUAGCUCCAUAUCCUAGUGUCUGGACACGUGAACGCCCUGUCCGUCAUGCCUAUAAAAGUGCACUUUCUGGAUCACCUGUUCGGACGGGCUUGGCAAAAGCCUACUUGCUGGAGUGCCUGUCUGGACAGGCCAACUUGCUGUCCGGACAGUCUUCAUAGUACACAUGGACCAUCUUCUUCUCCAUUGUGAGGUUGCCGGUGCCUUGUGGGAUAUUUUCUUCAGUCGAUUUGGAUUGUCUCGGGUUAUGCCUAGACUAGUUGACUUAUAUACGUGUUGGUGGAAUGCCAAGAGCUCUCAGAGUGUUGUAGCGUGGAAGAUGAUUGUGAGCAACGCACCAAUGCCAUCUAUUUCAUCUGCUCUGCCGAGAUCCUUCAAAAGUAUAUUUCCAGAACCUGAAAGGCCAACAGAAACUGCAUACAUGGGUCGUGGACUCGGGAAUGGAGCUG